AUCAUUUAACUAUUAAAAUCUAUGAAUUUUUACUAGCAAAAAUUGUGCUUGAUAAAUUUUAUCAUUAAAUAUAUAUUAUAAGAUCAAUAAUAACACACAUAAAUACUCCAAAUUAAAGAGUUUUGAUUUGUGAUAAUUAGUAUUACUUAUAUACCUUGAGGAGGCUCCUUUAAUCUUGAUGUAAAGUGCACAAAUCUUAGAAAAAUCCGCAUUAGAUACUUUGUCCCUGCAAAUUAAGAGAAGAAGACCAGAUAACUAAAACCCAUCAAUUAAUCAUAUAUUGUUAAUAACUACUCAUAUCUAUAUUGAGAUAUAUAUUAUGUACACAUACAAAGCUUUACCCAUAUCUAAUAAGAUGAUUUCAUAUUCAACCACGAAGGUGCAAACCAUAUCAUAGAAAUAAUUUGGAUCACAACCAAAAUCUCCUUUCAAUUCAUAUGCUACUACAAGAAAGUGAUCUACCAUAUCCUUUAAUAAAAAUUGAAUGCAAAUCAAUCAAUGACAUUGAUAUAUAUACAUGAUCGGUAAAUAAAUAAAAGAAAAAUAUAUCAGAUGUUAAGCAUUAAACCUCUUAUUCCAUCGAGUGGAUCAUGUGGAGGAGCUGUGUGCUUUGAUCCUUCUAUUCGAAAUGAUUGGAUAAGAGCUAUAACAACCCAUACCUCUAUAGGGAGUUAGGGUACCAUAAAAACUUAUAUUCCCAGCACGAAAAAUACAAUAAAGUUGUAUCUCUAAAUAAAAAUAAGUGUGUCUAAGAGCAAUGUUCACAUCACUUGCUAGUGAGGGUUAACCAUUAGAUUUAUCUAAAAUUAAAAAAAAAUAUAAUUAAAGUUUGUGUAAAUUAUCCUUUCUUACACAUGGAUCACAGAGAACAUUGUCUCUGCUCACCCAAAUCAGCUCCUAGAGUUUGUUUGUUCCAUUGUUAAUCCCAUUCCUACUUCCAAACAACAUCACUUUUACCCUCACAGAGAACACUAUCUCGCUCACCUGGAUUUGCCUCCUAGAAUUUUAUAUUUAUUUUGUUUUUAAUCCCUAUCCAGUUUGUUUUCUUGUCUCGACUCACCAAUACCACCAUUUCCCAAACAGACAUAAAGAGAAUUAAAUAUAAAAGAUAACAAAAUAAUAAUUCCCAAACAGACAUCAGAUUCAGACCACUAUUUUCCUCUUUUUCUUUUUCCUAUCCCUCACCCGUUCUCAUCCUUUCAAUUUUCCUCCUAUGUUUCUAGCAUAUCUCCUAUGUCCUCUCCUCAUAGUUGUCCACACGAUAAUUCCAUCAUUUUUCCAAUCUUUUGUUUAUCCUCAUUUCUCAGUCUCAAUUUUUUUUAUUUUUACUCCUGGUUCUAAUCUGAUUUCAAGAAAAUGUCCCUAUUCCAAGAUAAACUCAUUUCUUCUAAAAAAUAUCUCAAAAAAUUUAGAAGAUAAAUUUUACUCAAGCGGUGAGAGUCAAAUUUCACUUACCUUUUUUCUUAGUGACGGUGUUAAUUUGAUUGACAGAUUCCUCCCUUGUUCUGCUCCCGAUUCCACUACUAGCUUAUUAAUCUUAUUGAAGAAAUCGCAUAAAAACUUCCUCUCGGUUUACCCUAGCUCUGAAUUUUCUUCUCUUCCCCUGUAGCCCAACGUCCUCUUUUAAAAUUAAGGAGGAACCUCCAGAACUGUUGAGGAUGGCAACGAAAUCCCUAAAUUAAAUAGAUAUUACAAAAUAUUUUUUGAUAAUUGAGGCAUAAUUAAUAUUUUUACUUUUAAUAAUUAUGGUAGAAACUAAU
rnacentral:lncRNA from 1 species